GGACUACUGGGGUUUCUAAUCCUGUUCGCUACCCACGCUUUCGCGCCUCAGCGUCAGUAUUAAGCCAGGCGGCUGCCUUCGCCAUUGACGUUCCUUCCGAUCUCUACGCAUUUCACCGCUACACCGGAAAUUCCGCCGCCCUCUCUUAUACUCCAGUCUGAUCGUUUGCGAUGCACUUCCUAGGUUAAGCCCAGGGCUUUCACAUCACACUCACCUGACCGCCUACGCGCCCUUUACGCCCAGUAAUUCCGAUUAACGCUCGCACCCUCUGUAUUACCGCGGCGGCUGGCAC
rnacentral:rRNA from 1 species